rnacentral:rRNA from 1 species
AGAGUUUGAUUCUGGCUCAGGAUGAACGCUGGCGGCGUGCCUAAUACAUGCAAGUCGAACGCGCAGCGAAAGGUGCUUGCACCUUUCAAGCGAGUGGCGAACGGGUGAGUAACACGUGGAUAACCUGCCUCAAGGCUGGGGAUAACAUUUGGAAACAGAUGCUAAUACCGAAUAAAACUUAGUAUCGCAUGAUACAAAGUUGAAAGGCGCUACGGCGUCACCUAGAGAUGGGUCCGCGGUGCAUUAGUUAGUUGGUGGGGUAAAGGCCUACCAAGACAAUGAUGCAUAGCCGAGUUGAGAGACUGAUCGGCCACAUUGGGACUGAGACACGGCCCAA